rnacentral:piRNA from 1 species
UGGCUCUUUCAAGGGCGUUUCAAUGAGCAGC